AUUGAACGCUGGCGGCAGGCCUAACACAUGCAAGUCGAGCGGAUGAAGGGAGCUUGCUCCUGGAUUCAGCGGCGGACGGGUGAGUAAUGCCUAGGAAUCUGCCUGGUAGUGGGGGAUAACGUCCGGAAACGGGCGCUAAUACCGCAUACGUCCUGAGGGAGAAAGUGGGGGAUCUUCGGACCUCACGCUAUCAGAUGAGCCUAGGUCGGAUUAGCUAGUUGGUGGGGUAAAGGCCUACCAAGGCGACGAUCCGUAACUGGUCUGAGAGGAUGAUCAGUCACACUGGAACUGAGACACGGUCCAGACUACUACGGGAGGCAGCAGUGGGGAAUAUUGGACAAGGGGCGAAAGCCUGAUCCAGCCAUGCCGCGUGGGUGAAGAAGGUCUUCGGAUUGUAAAGCUCUUUAAGUUGGGAGGAAGGGCAGUAAGUUAAUACCGUGAUGUUUUGACGGUACCAACAGAAUAAGCACCGGCUAACUUCGUG
rnacentral:rRNA from 1 species